AUACGGAGGAUGCGAGCGUUAUCCGGAUUUAUUGGGUUUAAAGGGUGCGUAGGCUGUGCGUUAAGUCAGGGGUGAAAUGCCGUCGCUCAACGACGGAGCUGCCCUUGAUACUGGCGUGCUGGAGUACGGAUGCCGUUGGAGGAAUGAGUGGUGUAGCGGUGAAAUGCUUAGAUAUCACUCAGAACACCGAUUGCGAAGGCAUCUGACGAAUCCGUCACUGACGCUGAGGCACGAAAGCGUGGGGAUAGAACAGGAUUAGAUACCCUGGUAUUCCACGCCGUAAACGAUGAUGACUAACCGUCGGCGAUAGACAGCCGGUGGCCAAGCGAAAGCGAUAAGUCAUCCACCUGGGGAGUACGUCGGCAACGAUGAAACUCAAAGGAAUUGUCGGGG
rnacentral:rRNA from 1 species